rnacentral:rRNA from 1 species
ACGCUCGACACCUACGGGGGNGAGCAGUGAGGGAAUAUUGGUCAAUGGGCGCUAGCCUGAACCAGCCAAGUAGCGUGAAGGAUGAAGGCUCUAUGGGUCGUAAACUUCUUUUAUAUAAGAAUAAAGUGCAGUAUGUAUACUGUUUUGUAUGUAUUAUAUGAAUAAGGAUCGGCUAACUCCGUGCCAACAGCCGCGGUAAUCUGAGCGGGCUGGCAAGGC